rnacentral:piRNA from 1 species
AGGAAGCCUGGAAGGCAGCAGAGG